rnacentral:rRNA from 1 species
UUCCAUGCUAGUCGACGGUACAGGCCGCAAGGUGCUGACGAGUGGCGAACGGGUGAGUAAUGCAUCGGAACGUGCCCAGUCGUGGGGGAUAACGCAGCGAAAGCUGUGCUAAUACCGCAUACGAUCUAUGGAUGAAAGCGGGGGACCGUAAGGCCUCGCGCGAUUGGAGCGGCCGAUGUCAGAUUAGUAGUUGGUGGGGUAAAGGCCUACCAAGUCGACGAUCUGUAGCUGGUCUGAUAGGACGACCAGCCACACUGGGACUGAGACACGGGCCCAAACUCCUACAGGAGGCAGCAGUGGGGAAUUUUGGACAAUGGGGCGCAAGCCUGAUCCAACAAUGCCCGCGUGCACGCAAGAAAGGCUUCAGGUUUGUAAACUUGCUUUUUGUACCGGACCGAAAACCGGUCUGGGGUUAAUUACCCCGGGCCUAUGACGGUACCGUAAAAAAUAAGCACCGGGUAACUACGUGGCCAACCAGCCCCCGGUAAUUCCGUA